rnacentral:rRNA from 2 species
UACAGAGGUCUCAAGCGUUGUUCGGAAUUACUGGGCGUAAAGGGCUCGUAGGCGGCCAACUAAGUCGGACGUGAAAUCCCUCGGCUUAACCGGGGAACUGCGUCCGAUACUGGAUGGCUUGAGUUUGGGAGAGGGAUGCGGAAUUCCAGGUGUAGCGGUGAAAUGCGUAGAUAUCUGGAGGAACACCGGUGGCGAAGGCGGCAUCCUGGACCAACACUGACGCUGAGGAGCGAAAGCCAGGGGAGCAAACGGG